UUUGUAGAGAUUCGUGUAACCGCUGCAUUGGAGAUAUAUGUUUCGCAGUUAGGCUACGAAACAGCUAUCUCUUUACGCAGGCCCAUGAUCACGUAGAGUCAGAACUCGACAUUCUUGCCAACAGGUUGAAUGUCGAGACCGAUGCAUAAUGUUAAAUAACUCAUGGGCGGUCUCGUUCGUAGUCACCUCCUUGUGGUGAGACCUAGUAAUUGGCAUCGCUUUCCAAAAAUUAAUCAGUUGAUUAAUCUUUGGAAAACGAUACCAAGCUAAGAACUACGCACCAGUCCAGUUUGGGUCACCAAAAGCCGCGAAAAGUAUUUUGGAUGAUUUAGACUGGACUGCACCGUGGGACACCGUGGGACGUCGUUGGACGACUGUGGGUCACCAAAAGCCGCGAAAAGAAUUUUGGAUGAUCUAGACUAGACUGCAACGUGGGACAACGUGGGACGACGUGGGACGAAUUUGGGUCACCAAAAGCCGCGAAAAGAAUUUUGGAUG